GACGAACGCUGGCGGCGUGCCUAAUACAUGCAAGUCGAACGCUGAAGGCGGAGCUUUCUUCUCUGGAUGAGUUGCGAACGGGUGAGUAACGCGUAGGUAACCUGCCUUGUAGCGGGGGAUAACUUUUGGAAACGAUAGCUAAUACCGCAUAAUAGUAGAUGUUGCAUGACAUUUGCUUAAAAGGUGCAAUUGCUUCACUACCAGUUGGACCUGCGUUGUAUUAGCUAGUUGGUGAGGUAUCGGCUCACCAAGGCGAGGAUGCAGCGCCGAACUGAGAGGGGGAGCGGCCGGCCUGGGAGUGUGACAGGGCCCAGAGGCCUACGGGAGGCAGCAGUAGGGAUUCUUGAGCAAGGAGUGGAAGACUGACCGAGAAAGGCCGCAGGAGGAAGGAAGGAUGUCGGAUCGGAAAGCUCGGUUGUAAGAGAGGAAAGAGUGUGAGAGUGGAAAGUUCACACUGUGACGGUAACUGAUCAGAAAGGGACGGCUAACUACGUG
rnacentral:rRNA from 1 species